CGUUCUCGCCACUGUGAGCGUUCUGGCGGCCAUUGCUCUCUCUAUUCCUCGGUCUCAAGGGCGAUCCUAUCCCUUGUGAUCGAUGAGCUGGCAAUGGUGGCACAAAAUGUGUUUUCUGCGAGAGUGGAAAGAUGAAGCAGGAAACAGGCUUGGUUGACUGCAAAGUGUGCAAGGGAGCAGGUAUCAUUAUAACUAAAGCAUUCUUAGCCAAGGUCAUAUGCGUGUCUGAGCAUGUUGCUCGAGCUGAUUCACAUCUU